UGGCGUGUCGUCAGCUCGUGUCGUGAGAUGUUGGGUUAAGUCCCGUAACGAGCGCAACCCUUGUCCUUAGUUACCAGCACGUUAUGGUGGGCACUCUAAGGAGACUGCCGGUGACAAACCGGAGGAAGGUGGGGAUGACGUCAAGUCAUCAUGGCCCUUACGGCCUGGGCUACACACGUGCUACAAUGGUCGGUACAAAGGGUUGCCAAGCCGCGAGGUGGAGCUAAUCCCAUAAAACCGAUCGUAGUCCGGAUCGCAGUCUGCAACUCGACUGCGUGAAGUCGGAAUCGCUAGUAAUCGUGAAUCAGAAUGUCACGGUGAAUACGUUCCCGGGCCUU
rnacentral:rRNA from 1 species